ensembl:lncRNA
CGGCAGCGUAGCCUAGUGGUUAGCGGUUAGAGCGUUGGACUAGUAACCGAAAGGUAACGGAGUAACGGAGCUGACAAGACCUCGUCAUGCUGAUCAGGGUGAAAUUCAAUGGUGAACGAAAAUAUGUGAAGAUCAUUGACCUGACACUUGAAAAUCUUUUGAUUGGAGGAGAUGGUGACACGGCCAGACCUUGGUGUUUUCAAGCUCACGCUGACCAAUGAUGCUAAAGAGAGCAUACUGAAGAAAAAGCCUGGUGGAGAGGUUGUCAUCAAGGAAUACUCCAAAACUAAAAGCCUGACUGACUGCACCAGACUAAAGAUGAUCAACAUUCUUGUUUCGGCGAUGACGGCGACUCAUGGGACAUCACCACCGCGUGAGAGAAACAUUUGCACAAGGCAUCAUCUCCUUGUUCCUAUACCUGAAGGAUUCCUACACGACAAAUGGAUAUGAACAUUACUACGACCCUAAUUAGUGGAGAAGGGUACCUCUCGUAUAGAAUCAAAACCAUUCAGAGGAAUUUGGCUUCAUCAGAGAAACGGCCCACUCAACUAUACUCUGGAGGGCCAACUGCUUAGAGGGAGUCCAGUCCAUCCACUUUGGCCACCCUGAGGGAAGACCAGUGCAGAGAGGCCAUUUAUCUUAUGAAGCAUUCUUCUGAUGAAGAGUCAAACAGAAGAUGAAAUUGACCUUUGAGUACAGGAAGAUGACCUACAACCCGAGUAAAUGCUCCACCAUCCUAACCGAAUUUCCACGCUUUCUUGAUGUGAAGGGUUUGAUAUUGAACAUGAUUUUGUGCUGCUGUUUGGAGAGGGAACAUCAGUCAAGUUUUUGGAGAGGUGGCCAACUACAUUCAAGCAAAAUAUCAUCCUUCUAAGCAAGACCCUAAGCAAGGCAGA